rnacentral:rRNA from 1 species
GUACGGCGAGUGAAGAGGAAAGAGCUCAAAGUUGGAACCUGUUUGGCCUAGCUAAACCGGAUUGUAGACUGUAGAAGUGUUUUCCAGGCAAGCCGAGUAAAUAAGUCCUUUGGAACAGGGCAUCAUAGAGGGUGAGAAUCCCGUCUUUGGCUUGAGCAUUUGCCUUUUGUGAUACGCUUUCAAAGAGUCAGGUUGUUUGGGAAUGCAGCCUAAAUUGGGUGGUAAAUCUCACCUAAAGCUAAAUAUUGGCGAGAAACCGAUAGCGAACAAGUACCGUGAGGGAAAGAUGAAAAGAACUUUGAAAAGAGAGUUAAACAGUAUGUGAAAUUGUUAAAAGGGAACCGUUUGGAGCCAGACUGGCUUGUCUGUAAUCAAUCUAGGCUUCGGCCUGGAUGCACUUGCAGGCUAUGCCUGCCAACGACAAUUUGACUUGAGGGAAAAAACUAGGGGNAAUGUGGCCCACUUGUGGGUGUUAUAGUCCCUUAGAAAAUACCUUGGGUUGGAUUGAGGAACGCAGCGAAUGCUUAUUGGCGAGUUUUCCAGGAAGGUUUUCUGAGGUACUACGGUAUCAAGGUUGAUCUUUUUGGUUAUACUUCUAUUCGCUUAGGUUGUUGGCUNNNUGACUCUNAAUGANCCNNNNNNNAACAACGGACCNNNA